rnacentral:rRNA from 1 species
AUGCAAUCUACUUAUACAGGGAAUAGCCCAGAGAAAUUUGGAUUAAUACCUCAUAGUAUUUUCGGAUCGCAUGAUUUGAUUAUUAAAGUUCCAACGGUAAAAGAUGAGUAUGCGUCCCAUUAGCUAGAUGGUAAGGUAACGGCUUACCAUGGCAAUGAUGGGUAGGGGUCCUGAGAGGGAGAUCCCCCACACUGGUACUGAGACACGGACCAGACUCCUACGGGAGGCAGCAGUGAGGAAUAUUGGACAAUGGGCGCAAGCCUGAUCCAGCCAUGCCGCGUGCAGGAUGACGGUCCUAUGGAUUGUAAACUGCUUUUAUACAGGAAGAAACACUACUUCGUGAAGUAGCUUGACGGUACUGUAAGAAUAAGGAUCGGCUAACUCCGUG